UCCAUUGUCUUCAUUUAUUUUUGUGUAGUAAAUGAGAAAUUUGAUGCCUACCUGAUUUUCUUUCAUAUCUCUUUCUUUGGAUCUCUCUUGCCCUUUCACCUUCCACCAUGGGAUGAUACAACAUGCAGGCCCUACCAGAUAUGCACCCCUUGAUUUUGGACUUCCAAGACUCCAGAACUAAAGGUGGAGUCUGUCUCCCUAUCCUUUGAAUCCGGACUGGCCUCGUCACUUGCAUUGGACAAGAUCUCUGCGGCUAUUCUGUGAAUUGGUCUGUACAGGCCCACUGGAGUACAGAUAAGCCAUUUCAGCUGAGCCUACAAGAAACAUCCAGCUAAACCUAGCCGAAAUCGCCAACUUGCAGAAUUGUAAGCUAAAUAAAUGACUGCAAGCCAUUAAGUUCUGAGAAUCUGGGCUAGCCUUGUGACUUGCUUUGACUAACAGAAUGUGACAGAAUGACGUUGUGCAACAUCCAAAUCAAGACUUAAAAAACUGUAGGCAUCCAUCAUGCUGUGUACCCAAGCUGUGUGGAGAGACUAAGUGGAGGUGAGAGACUAAGUGGAGUCACUUCAGUCAAGAGCCCUACCUGAUAUUUCAGUCCAUAACUAGCUGUGUCUGCCAGCCUUGUGAAUAGGUCAUCUUGGACUUUUCAGCCCCAUCGAGAACAAUGACUAUAUCCUCAGCUGAUACCACAUAGAACAGAGGAACUACCUAGCUUAGCUGGGCUCAUAUUGCAGAAUUGUGAGAGAUCAUGAAAAGUUGUGUUUUUUUUAAUAACUAUACAUUUAUUUAGUACACAUUUCAGUAAUAUUAUUGCAUAUUUUUUCAAUGCUCUUUACAGGUAUUAUGGCAGAUUAUAAAUAAAUUCUCAGAGGGUUUCCAUCUACUCACUCUUAUAACUGAAAUGGGUUAGGGUCUUUCUGGAAUAAACAACACAAGUUCUUUCCAGAAUAACUAGCACAAUAAUAGAAAUAUUAGCAAAGUGCACACACACCUCCUUUUUCUGGAAUGCUCUUUACUCUUUCCAUCUGCUACUGUCUGCGAAGUCCACUGAAGUUACGUCCCUCAUGAGGCCCAUUCCCAGCCCUGGAAUUAGGCUAGGAAGGGGGAGCUGGGAUAAACAAGCCACUUUUUCCUUUGUACUCCCAGUAUACCUUUGAUGGAGCUCUAAUAUAGGACCUUUUUUAUUUUAGUUUGUAAUUGCAAUAUUUGUUUACACCUUUCUAUUCUCUGGCAGGCUGGGACCUCCUUAAGGACAAAGAUUAUCUUCUUAACUUGGAUAUCUGUCUUAGUCUAUUCAUUCAGGCUGCUAUAAUGAAAUGUCAUAAAAUCAGUGGCUUAUAAACAACAAACAUUUAAUUC